GUGAGACUGCGGACGGCUCAGUAAAUCAGUUAUAAUCCGUUCGAAAGUAACCCCAUUGGAUAACCGUGGGAAAUCUAGAGCUAAUACAUGUGUUAAAGGUGAUUGGCAGUGAUGCUGGUCGCUAGCAUUUAUUGUAAAAAACCAACUGGUUUGGGGCAGUGGCAACACUGUUUCGAAUCAAGGUGAAUCUAGAUAACUGAGCUAAUCGCAUAGCCUUGAGCUGGCGAUGUUUCGAUCGAAUUUCUGCCCUAUCAACUUGUUGGUAAGGUAGAGGCUUACCAAGGUUGCAACGGGUAACGGGGAAUCAGGGUUCGAUUCCGGAGAGGGAGCCUGAGAAACGGCUACCACAUCCAAGGAAGGCAGCAGGCGCGCAAAUUACCCAAUCCAGACAAUGGGAGGUGGUGACCAGAAGUACCGAGUGGUGGGUUUAUAUCUACCAAUCUUGGAAUGAGCAUAAAGUAAAAAUUUAGUCGAGUAACAACUGGAGGGCAAGCCUGGUGCCAGCAGCCGCGGUAAUUCCAGCUCCAGUAGCAUGUCGUAAAGUUGUUGCGUUUAAAACGCUCGUAGUUGGAUCAUACAGUGGCGUUGAGUUAGUCUAUUCGAAUACGGCAACAUAACCUGUGUUAUAGGAUGCUACAGUUAAUUCUGUGGUAGACUGUGAUAUUGGUGUCGGUUUGGUAGAUCUUUUGCUUGAUGUUACUAGUUGCGCGUAAGAAUGGUGAUUGGCCUUGAGUGCGUCGGUCAUUGUGUCUUACGGAGUGUGCCUUGAAAAAAUCAAAGUGCUUAAAGCAGGCUAGUGCCUGAAUGAUACAGCAUGGAACGAACAAUCGUGUAAAGUGUGUGAUUACUUGAAUUGUACUGUAAUGGUGUGGUUGAGGGAUUGUACACAUCACCAACCACCAUGUACGGAUGUUGGUUUCCGUAUUGGGGUGAUGAUUAAAACGAGCGGUUGGGGGCACUGGUAUUUGGCCGCGAGAGGUGAAAUUCUUAGACCGGCCAAGGACUAACAAAAGCGAAGGCAUUUGCCAAGACCGUCUCGAUUAAUCAAGAACGAAAGUGAGUGGAUCGAAGGCGAUCAGAUACCGUCCUAGUACUCACAAUAAACUAUGCCAACCCGGGAUUAGUUUAGAGCAUUUAAAGGCUCCAGGUUGGUCCCCUGGGAAACCUCAAGUUUUUGGGUUACGGGGGGAGUAUGGUCGCAAGGCUGAAACUUAAAGGAAUUGACGGAAGGGCACCACCAGGGGUGGAGCCUGCGGCUUAAUUUGACUCAACACGGGAAAACUCACCCGGGCCUUACAUUAAAAGGAUAAACAGACUGAUAGAUCUUUUUUGAUAUGAUGUGUGGUGGUGCAUGGCCGUUCUUAGUUCGUGGAGCGAUUUGUCAGGUUUAUUCCGGUAACGGACGAGACCAGAGUCUUCAUUUACGGCACAUAAUAGUCACGGAUUGCUGUGGCUCUAGUUGGUGAAUGGGUGGUGAUGGAUACGGAUCCAUCUAUUUGACAGCUAUUCUUAUGUGAUGCUGUAUGCGGCAACGUGUGGCAGCUGCAUGAAGAGACAACUGACUAUAAUAUAAAAUCAGAGGAAGUUUGGCAAUAACAGGUCUGUAAUGCCCUUAGAUGUUCGGGGCUGCACGCGCGCUACAAUGAUAACGGCAGCGAGAUAUCUGGGCCGAAAGGCUUGGGAAAUCUGUGAAUCGUUAUCGUGAUGGGGAUUGUCCAUUGUAAGUUGGACAUGAAAUAGGAAUCCCUUGUACGUGCACUUCAUCUUAAAGUGCGUGGAAUGAGUCCCUGCCCUUUGUACACACCGCCCGUCGCUACUACCGAGUGAAUGGUGUCAUGAUGCGUUGGGACUGGACGUUGUUUGGUUUACAAACCCGAUAACGCUAGGAUCA
rnacentral:rRNA from 1 species